rnacentral:rRNA from 1 species
CAGCAGCAGCCGCGGUAAUGCGUAGGGUGCGAGCGUUAAUCGGAAUUACUGGGCGUAAAGCGUGCGCAGGCGGUUGUGUAAGACAGGUGUGAAAUCCCCGGGCUUAACCUGGGAACUGCGCUUGUGACUGCACAGCUAGAGUAUGGCAGAGGGGGGUGGAAUUCCACGUGUAGCAGUGAAAUGCGUAGAGAUGUGGAGGAACACCGAUGGCGAAGGCAGCCCCCUGGGCCAAUACUGACGCUCAUGCACGAAAGCGUGGGGAGCAAACAGGAUUAGAUACCCCUGUAGUCCCUGUCUCUUAUAC